CUCUUUUAGAUUUUAUUGAAGGUCGUGCCUGCUCACUGAUAUAUUAAAGAGCCGCGGUAUUUUGACCGUGCAAAGGUAGCAUAAUCAUUAGUAUAUUAAUUUUAUACUGGAAUGAAAGGUUUGACGAGAAACAUGCUGUCUCUAUUAUAUUAAUAUAAUUUAACUUUCUAGUAAAAAGGCUGGAAUUAUUUUUUAGGACGAUAAGACCCUAUAGAGUUUGAUUUUAAAUAUUUUAUUAUUUUGGGUUAAAUUUUUAUUAAUUAAUUUUAUUAUAAAUUUUGUUGGGGUGAUGUGAAUAAUAAUUAAACUAUUCAUUUAUUUUAUCAUUGAUUUAUGUUUUUUAUGAUCCUUUAUUAUUGACAUAAAGAUAAAAUUACCUUAGGGAUAACAGCGCAAUUAUCUCUUAGAGUUCUUAUUGACGAGAUAGAUUGUGACCUCGAUGUUGGAUUAAGAUUAUUCUUUAGGUGGAGAUGCUUAAUUUUAUU
rnacentral:rRNA from 1 species